CGGUGCCUAAAACAUGCAAGUCGAGCGGUAAGGCUUUGCACUUAGUGUUUGAUCGAGAUAAUUUAUUAUCACAGUUAACCAAUCGGAACCGUUGGCGGGGGAAGUGCGGAAGAGGAAGAUCGAAUUAUAAGUGUAGAGUACACGAGCGGCGGACGGGUGAGUAACACGUGGGAAUCUACCCCAAACUGAGGGAUAAGCACCGGAAACGGUGUCUAAUACCGCAUAUGGUCUUCGGAUUAAAGCUUCGGCGGUUUGGGAAGAGCCCGCGCAAGAUUAGCUAGUUGGUGAGGUAAAGGCUCACCAAGGCGACGAUCUUUAGCUGGUUUGAGAGGAUGAUCAGCCACACUGGAACUGAGACACGGUCCAGACUCCUACGGGAGGCAGCAGUUAGGAAUUUUCCACAAUGGGCGCAAGCCUGAUGGAGCAACGCCGCGUGCAGGAUGAAGGUUUUCGGAUUGUAAACUGCUUUUAUAAGUGAAGAAUAUGACGGUAACUUAUGAAUAAGGAUCGGCUAACUCCGUG
rnacentral:rRNA from 1 species